CAAACUUUUGAUGCGACCGGCGCACGGGUGAGUAACACGUAUCCAACCUGCCUCAUACUCGGGGAUAGCCUUUCGAAAGAAAGAUUAAUACCCGAUGUUAUAGUCCUACCGCAUGAUGGGAUUAUUAAAGAAUUUCGGUAUGGGAUGGGGAUGCGUUCCAUUAGUUAGUUGGCGGGGUAACGGCCCACCAAGACAACGAUGGAUAGGGGUUCUGAGAGGAAGGUCCCCCACAUUGGAACUGAGACACGGUCCAAACUCCUACGGAAGGCAGCAG
rnacentral:rRNA from 1 species